UACGUAGGGUUCGAGCGUUAAUCGGAAUUACUGGGCGUAAAGAGCUCGUAGGUGGUUUGUCGCGUUGUUCGUGAAAACUCACAGCUCAACUGUGGGCGUGCGGGCGAUACGGGCAGACUUGAGUACUGCAGGGGAGACUGGAAUUCCUGGUGUAGCGGUGGAAUGCGCAGAUAUCAGGAGGAACACCGGUGGCGAAGGCGGGUCUCUGGGCAGUAACUGACGCUGAGGAGCGAAAGCGUGGGGAGCGAACAGG
rnacentral:rRNA from 1 species